CAGUUUUUCGUUUUCCUUUCAUUGGGUUUUGAUUGAGUUUUUGAGUUCUGAUAUGAUUGAUUUUCGGAUAUUGCUGUUUCUUAUAUAUUGGGUUUCUGAGAUCGAUUGAUACUUUGAAUUUCGAAAUUGGAUGGUUGCUACUUUGAAUUUUGAAAUUGGAUGGUUGUUGCAAUUGUUCAUGUUUCUAAGUCUGAAAUUCUUCUUGUUUCUUAAUAGUUAAUAGUACUGACAUUUGUUAACUUUUUUUUUUUUUUUUUGUGCGGGAUUAGGACUAGAAAUUGUCACAGUUCACCGAUUUCACCCUCAUCGAACUGAGCAUCAAGUGUGAGCUAUGAACUUCCUGAUUUGCACCCUCUUCUAGAUCAGCUAAGUAAUAUCUACAGCUAAAUAUCAUUGUUUAUGGAAGUCUCUACUCGAAGAAGCUUAUGAAAGUGCUCUGAAAGAAAAACAUGAUGCUUUUCAGAUAGAAGGGUUUUUGGAUGAAGCUAGUACUACCCAUAUGGAACAGUUAGAGGCUUUUGGAAGAUUGUUUGAGAAAGCUGCAGAAGCUGACACAUCAAGUUGGUGACUUAUGUUGGUAUUUUUGCUUCUUUGGCGGCUUUGAUGUUCAAUUUCGUGAAGAAAGAUGACAUUGAUCACUCUCUUUACAAAGAGGGCGAGUGGGGAUUUUAAACAAGUCAGGUUAUAUCACAGUGGAACCUUACAAGGAUGGUUCUCCAGAGGUUGUGAUAGAUUUCUCGAUUUAUGGUUUUAUUCGGAAUCUUAUCAAGAGGAAGCAAGUAAUUGAUGCUGUUAGAUGCAUUUGCAUCUUGCAGUUAAUUGACAAGUUCUGCUAAAAAAAAAAAAAGAAUUUAUCUAACCUCUGUAAGAUUAAAAGCACAGAACUCACGAUAUUAACCAAAGAACAAAAAAAAACUAAACUUUCAAUCUAGACUAUUCUGUUUCUAUGACUAACUAUUGUUACCAAUUCUUGAAAUGUUUUGCAGGACUGCAUACAUGGCUCCGUGCACUCUAAACAAAAAAGGGACUGAACCAUAAUCUGGAUCAAUUUUUCAGUGAGAUUGGUGGAACAACAAGCCACAAAACCUCAAAUUUUCAAGCCAACAUUUAUCAAACACUUCUCAUUAUUGUGUUCUAUUUAUAGCUUCAUUAAACUAUACAUACCAAGUUUGAUUUGAAGUCAUUAAUUCCAGUGAGAACUUCGUGUAAUGUGUUCUAAUCAUGCAGCUAAAAAAUUGAAUGCUGUAAUGUGAUAGCGGACUACAAUGCACAGAUUGAAGUCAACUUUAAGCCGAAACUACAGUAUGAAAAGGCAACCAUCAACUGUGACUGCUGAUACAACAGCUCCAAGUGUUCCACAUAAUGAAUCGACAAUGUCCCUUGGGUUAAGCAGUCGCCAGAUUACCCUUCUGCUUUCAUCUAUCUGGGCACAGUCCAUCUCCCCUUUAAAUACGCCUGAAAUCUAUCAAGCAAUUGCUCAUACCUACAGCCUUGUGUUGCUAUAUGCUCGGACUAAGUGGGAGAGAAGAGGGAAGGCAGCAUAUACGCAGCACCAUAUUGAUGCAAUCAGAACAGAGUGGGCAAAAUUUGUUGUUAAAACAUAUAUGUAAGUAGUAUCGCAUCUAGCUAGUUAGUACUUGGGUAUAGGGACUUAUUUUGGUAACCUUGAUAUAUGAUAGACUUGCUAUAUUAAGGUUGCUUUUGGUUUGGAUUGUGGUUGAUCCGAAUAUGAAUUUGCACUUUGGUUCCAAAGUUGGAUAUGGCAAUGUAUGAAACAGAUGACAGUAAUCUAUGACAAUGUGGUAUUUUGGAUA